rnacentral:rRNA from 1 species
AGAACGAACGCUGGCGGCAUGCCUAAUACAUGCAAGUCGAACGAAGGCUUCGGCCUUAGUGGCGCACGGGUGCGUAACGCGUGGGAAUCUGCCCCUUGGUUCGGAAUAACAGUUGGAAACGACUGCUAAUACCGGAUGAUGACGAAAGUCCAAAGAUUUAUCGCCAAGGGAUGAGCCCGCGUAGGAUUAGCUAGUUGGUGAGGUAAA